UAUUGCACAAUGGGGGGAACCCUGAUGCAGCGACGCCGCGUGGGUGAAGGAGUAUUUCGGUAUGUAAAGCCCUAUCAGCAGGGAAGAACAAUGACGGUACCUGACUAAGAAGCACAGGCUAAAUACGUGCCAGCAGCCGCGGUAAUACGUAAGGUGCAAGCGUUAUCCGGAUUUACUGGGUGUAAAGGGAACGCCGGCGGCGCGUUAAGCCGGGGGUGAAAGCCCGCGGCCCAACCGCGGGACUGCAUUGGGAACUGGCGCGCUGGAGUGCCGGAGGGGUAGGCGGAAUUCCUAGUGUAGCGGUGAAAUGCGUAGAUAUUAGGAGGAACACCAGUGGCGAAGGCGGCCUACUGGACGGUGACUGACGCUGAGGCUCGAAAGCGUGGGGAGCAAACAGG
rnacentral:rRNA from 1 species